CCUACGGGAGGCAGCAGUGGGGAAUAUUGGGCAAUGGGCGCAAGCCUGACCCAGCAACGCCGCGUGAAGGAAGAAGGCUUUCGGGUUGUAAACUUCUUUUAAGGGGGAAGAGCAGAAGACGGUACCCCUUGAAUAAGCCACGGCUAACUACGUGCCAGCAGCCGCGGUAAUACGGAGGUGGCAAGCGUUGUCCGGAUUUACUGGGUGUAAAGGGCGUGCAGCCGGAGGGACAAGUCAGAUGUGAAAUCCACGGGCUCAACCCGUGAACUGCAUUUGAAACUGUUUUCCUUGAGUGUCGGAGAGGUAAUCGGAAUUCCUGGUGUAGCGGUGAAAUGCGUAGAUAUAAGGAAGAACACCAGUGGCGAAGGCGGAUUACUGGACGAUAACUGACGGUGAGGCGCGAAAGCGUGGGGAGCAAACAGGAUUAGAUACCCCGGUAGUC
rnacentral:rRNA from 1 species